UACGGGGGGGGCAAGCGUUGUUCGGAAUUACUGGGCGUAAAGGGCUCGUAGGCGGCCAACUAAGUCAGACGUGAAAUCCCUCGGCUUAACCGGGGAACUGCGUCUGAUACUGGAUGGCUUGAAUCCGGGAGAGGGAUGCGGAAUUCCAGGUGUAGCGGUGAAAUGCGUAGAUAUCUGGAGGAACACCGGUGGCGAAGGCGGCAUCCUGGACCGGCAUUGACGCUGAGGAGCGAAAGCCAGGGGAGCAAACGGGG
rnacentral:rRNA from 1 species